UUCGGUUUGAAUAUAAUAAAGUUCCGAUUUUGUUUAGUCGGAUUUUAGUUUUCUGAUGCUCCUAUGUGCUCUUUUAAAUCCCAAUGAUAUUGAAAUCAAACGUUUUUGCUGGUUAUGCCUUUCUUCUUCUAAACAAGCAUAAAUCUUGCUCUUGCUUAUAGCGGCCGUUGAUAUGGCUAUAGAGCUAAGUAGCUUGCCGGAAGUUUGAAUGGAUUGUUGAUUUUACUUCGAUUAAGUUGAGUUUGGUUUAAGUAAAGUUGAGGCUUUUCCGGUGAAAAGCGACCUAACAAAG
rnacentral:lncRNA from 1 species